AAUAAGUCACAAGGAGAAAAUUAUCAAGGAUCCAGUAAAAAUUAAGGAAAAGCUUCAUAAGUAAAAACAAGAUACACUCAUUUAUGACACCAACACAAAAGAUGAAAUACUUUAAGAUAAACUUAAAAAUAAACGUGCAAAAGUUGUACAAAGAAAACUCUAAAAUGCUCCUGAAGAAUACAAAAAUGUUUGUUGUAACCCCAGAGUAGUUUAAUUCAGAUGAUCCAACAUCCACAGUAUAAACAGGCUGUUAUAGCCAGAGCCUAGGCCUUGUCUAAACAGGGUAAUCAAUGAGCAAAUUAAUGAAUAAUGAAAGGGUGGAAAGUAGCAUUCCUAGGUAGUGAGUGUCCAUUCACUAACCACCAGGCACUGUGUUAGCUACUUUCACAAAUGUCUCCUUUAAUCGCUUGUAAAAUCCAAAUUAUAUGAAAAAAAGUCUCAUUUUUCUAAUUUUUCUGAGCAAGAGAUUUUCAUAUAAUAUCUGUAAAUACAUACAAAAUCUCUGACCUGGCUUUGCAAGAGGCCUGUUUGACCUCAUGAGGACAUGCUCUUGAAUAGAUAGCUGUGGAACUGCUUUUUUUUUUUCUGUCCUUUUUUUAUAGAGAUAGGGUCUCACUAUGUUGCCCAGGACGGUCUUGAACUCCUGAGCUCAAGCAAUUCUCCCACCUCAGUCUCCCAAAGUGCUAGGGUUACAGGCAUGAACCACCAUGACUGGCCUCUUUUGUUUUCAAUUUUUAAAAAUUGCCAUGCUAAUCUUUGUAUCAUUCCAAUUUUAGUAUAUGUUCUG
rnacentral:lncRNA from 1 species